rnacentral:lncRNA from 1 species
UAGUCCGAGCAGUCCCAUCCAAUCCAUCCGUCCCAUCCACCGCCACCUCCUCGAUUUCCUCUCCUACCCAAUCCACCAGCGGCCAGCCUCCACCUUCAUCGGGAUCCAUCCCCAACCAGCUAACCACUGGCGAUCUCCUCGAUCCACUGCCCAAUCCCAACGAGCCUCCGAACACCUCCCUUGUUCUCCGCGCCUCCUCCUUCCGCAGCCCGAGAGGCUCGUCCCCUCGUCCCGUGCCUCAAUCCAGGAUGGAUCGGGAGUAGCUCUGCCCUUCUCCAGCCGCCGGCGACCAGGAUCCGCACGUCGUGCCCGUCGCCUCUCCUUCCAUCCCGUCUUUCCUCUAGCUCUCUCUCCCCCUCACUUUUCUCUCUCUUUUGUCUCUGUCCCAAAGGAGUUCCCAUCCAUGGUGCCAGGAGAAGAGCGCCCCGACCACCUCGUCACCAGCUCGCCGGAGCCACCCGCUGGAGCCGAGGCCGUCACCUCCUCAGUUCGUCGCGCCGCUACCAGACCCGACAGGCCUUCGUCGCCCUUGCCCGUUCCCGGCCGGAUCCCACCUGCAAGGUCCCGUCCCCGCUGUCGGUGACCGCGUCCCGCUCAUCCCGGAUCUCCCCUGCUUCUACGAGCACUCGAGGAUGAGGACGAGCCCCUGCCUCCUCGACACGAACUGGCCCGAUCCGGCCAUCUCCGACGCCUCCUCGCCGGAUCCCACGCGUCAAGUCCGCCGCCCGCUGCCGUCUUCCCAGCGAACCUCCCGUGCACCCCUGCGUCGUCCGCGUCACCAAGUUCUGUGCGUCGUCAUGCCCGUUGACCAAAUCCGCUGCUUCGUCCUGUUCGAGGGAGACGACCGAGCAAUUCCCAGAUCCGCACCUGGGCCUCUCCCGCCGCAGUGCCCCAAGGCCCAAGCCGCUCCCCUCGCCCGGCCUGCCUGCCUCUCCACCGACCUGGGCCUCAGCCCAUGGUGAGCAGCCCAGCCGAUCCAGAUUUUGGCCCGAUGUGUUUUUUUUAGAUCUGCGAAUUUAGCUAUUAUUCCAGGAUUUACAGUUUUGCAGAAAAACCCUCCAUGUUCAUGCAUAUCAUAUCUCAACAACCGUGCAUCGGAUUAAAAUGAUGUAAACAUGUAAAAAUGCUUAGAAUUUCAUCUAGUUUCAUAAUAUGCCACAUUCAUCCAUGUUUAAAAUGUUUAAAUGGUUGUUUGCACUUAAUUUGCUAAAUGUCCUGCUAAAAUGGUUUAUUUCAUAACUAAUUAACCGUAACUCGGAAUUUAGUAAAAUUUAUAUGCAACUUGUCUAGAAAAAUGCAUAGAUUAACUUGGUGCACCUUAUUUUCCUGUUUAACAAGAUUAAAAUAUGAUCCUGGGCUGGAUAGUACCAAAUUCAAAAUAUGCAUAUGAGGAUUUUUCGGUAUUGUUGUUUGUUGUUCCGGCCUCAUUUAAACUUGCCUAAAUAGUUAGUUUAUUUAUGAUUCACUUGUUGCCAUGUUUAACAACAUUUAAUAUUGUUGGGUACAUAAACGAGAGCAAACUAAGUAAUUGAAUGUGGUGUUUCGUCAAUAUGCAACUCGUUGCAUAUUGAGCUCCACUUAACUUGUAGUAUUGUUUGUUGCACAUUUGUCAUGCCAUGACUCAUUAAACCGGACAUGCAUCAUACUUGAUUGUGCAUCAUGCCAUGUUUAUGUGAUGGUUGUUUACCAUGAUGUAUUCUUCUUUCCGGUUGCGCUUCUCCUUGAUAGUUCUAGUGAUGUUGCGAUUGUGAGGAUUCAUUGGACUACGUCGGGUCGUCUACUUCGUGGAUUCGGUCUUCUUCCUAGCGGAAUCUCAGGCAAGAUGUUCAUCACCUUGGAUCUCACUACUAUCUUUGCUAUGCUAGUUGUCUCGAUGCUAUUGCUAUGUCGCGCUACCUACCACUUGUUUAUCAAGCCUCCCAAAUUGCCAUGAUACCCUCUAGCCUUUUCCAUCAUCCUAGCAAACCGUUGUUUGGCUAUGUUGCCGCUUUGCUCAGCCCCUCUUAUAACGUUGCUAGUUGCGGGUUGUUCCAUGUUGGGACAUGGAUAUCAUGGAUAUCAUGGGAUAUCACAAUAUCUCUUAUUUAAUUAAUGCACAUAUAUACUUGUAAUGGGUGGAAGGCUCGGCCUUUUGCCUGGUGUUUUGUUCCACUCAUGCCGCCCUAGUUUCCGUCAUACCGGUGUUAUGUUCCUUGAUUUUGCGUCCCUAACACGAUGAGGGUUUAUAGGCCCCUCUUGACACUUCGCUUUGAAUAAAACUUUUCCAGCAAGGCCAAACUUUGGUUUUUUACCAUUUGCCUAAUAACAACUAAAACUUGCAUCGGGACCAGCUAGCACCCGAGGACUCUUAAUCAACCCCCGGGCCAGUGCUCCUCAUGAGUGUUGGUCCAAACCUGUCAACCGCCGGUGACCGCCAGGGGCAACUCUGGAUUUGGCCUACUGGAAGUUUGGACAAUCCGAUCGUGGCCUGAGACGAGAUAUGCGCGGCUACUAUCAGGGUGUCGACACGUCGGGAGGUCUUGCUGUACUUGUUUUACCAUUGUCGAAAUGUCUUGUGCAUCGGGAUUCCGAGUCUGGUCGGAGGGUCCUGAGAUGGAGGAUUGUCUCCGCGGAUCGUGAGCUUGUCAUGGGCUAAGUUGGGACACCCCUGCAGGGUUUAAACUUUUGAGAGCCGUGCCCGCGGUUAUGUGGCAGAUGGAAAUUUGUUAAUAUCUGGUUGUAGUGGACUUGAACUAAACUAAAUUAAAAUACACCAACCGUGUGCGUAACCGUGGCCGUCUCUUUUCGAGUGAGUUUGAGAAGAGAACACGGUGGGGUUAUGUUUGAACGUAAGUAGUUCAGGAUCACUUAUUGAUCAUUACUAGUUGGCGACCGUUUGCGUAGUUUCUCUUCUUACUCUUGUACUCGUAAGCUAGCCACCAUACAAUGCUUAGUCGCUUGCUGCAACCUCACUACUUAUCCAUUCCAUACCCAUUAAGCUUUGCUAGUCUUGAUAUCCAUGGUAAUGGGAUUGCUGAGUCCUCGUGGCUCAUAGUUUACUACAACAACAGUUGCAGGUACAUGUAAUGCGAUGAGAUGACGUGAGAGCGAGGCUUGCUUAUUUUGGAGUUCUUCUGCUUCUCCUUCUUCGAUCAAGGGAUGGGUUCCGGGUGGGGGAGCUUGGGAUUAGCAGGGUGGAUGUCGUUCUUCUUUUCGUUUGGUUUCAUCCCUAGUCGGAUCCCGCUCUUCUGUAUGAUGAUUGCUAUGUAUUGAAGAAUUAUUGUAUUGAUGUUGUAGCUUGUGGCGAGUGUAAGCCUUUAUCUUGUAUUCUCAUCUAUUCAGUACAUGGUAUGUUGUAAUGAUAUCCACCUUGCUAUGCGCUCGAAAUGCGGUUGUGCCCCAAUCAUGAGUUCAUCACGUGAUUGGGAUAGAAUCGCAUCUUGGGCGCUACACCAACACUCAACUCUCUCUCACAGAUUUGGAUUUGGUGGAAAGAUGAUUUGACUGGAAAGCAACUUGGGGAAGGCUAGAGAUCAAGAUUCUUGUGGUUGGAAUGGAUUAUCUUGGUUUCAACACAUGAGUAGGUGGUUCUCUCUCAAAAAAUGUAUGCUGGAAGUGUAGGCAUGUUCUGAUGGCUCUCUCCACGAAUGAAGAGUGGGUGGAGGGGUAUUUAUAGCCUCCAUUAUUUGAUUUUGAUAGGAGCAGUGCAGGUAUUGAGGGUUUCUCUAUCUCUUCACUCAUGAAGUUAAUACAAGUGAGGAUUGAUUUUAGUUAUUCAUAUAAGAAAUAAGAGGAAUAAAUAAUCUUGGGGAAGAUAGGCUUUCUUG